rnacentral:rRNA from 1 species
GGGUUGUGAGGUUAAGCGACUAAGCGUACACGGUGGAUGCCCUGGCAGUCAGAGGCGAUGAAGGACGUGCUAAUCUGCGAUAAGCGUCGGUAAGGUGAUAUGAACCGUUAUAACCGGCGAUUUCCGAAUGGGGAAACCCAGUGUGUUUCGACACACUAUCAUUAACUGAAUCCAUAGGUUAAUGAGGCGAACCGGGGGAACUGAAACAUCUAAGUACCCCGAGGAAAAGAAAUCAACCGAGAUUCCCCCAGUAGCGGCGAGCGAACGGGGAGCAGCCCAGAGCCUGAAUCAGUGUGUGUGUUAGUGGAAGCGUCUGGAAAGGCGCGCGAUACAGGGUGACAGCCCCGUACACAAAAAUGCACAUGCUGUGAGCUCGAUGAGUAGGGCGGGACACGUGGUAUCCUGUCUGAAUAUGGGGGGACCAUCCUCCAAGGCUAAAUACUCCUGACUGACCGAUAGUGAACCAGUACCGUGAGGGAAAGGCGAAAAGAACCCCGGCGAGGGGAGUGAAAAAGAACCUGAAACCGUGUACGUACAAGCAGUGGGAGCACGCUUAGGCGUGUGACUGCGUACCUUUUGUAUAAUGGGUCAGCGACUUAUAUUCUGUAGCAAGGUUAACCGAAUAGGGGAGCCGAAGGGAAACCGAGUCUUAACUGGGCGUUAAGUUGCAGGGUAUAGACCCGAAACCCGGUGAUCUAGCCAUGGGCAGGUUGAAGGUUGGGUAACACUAACUGGAGGACCGAACCGACUAAUGUUGAAAAAUUAGCGGAUGACUUGUGGCUGGGGGUGAAAGGCCAAUCAAACCGGGAGAUAGCUGGUUCUCCCCGAAAGCUAUUUAGGUAGCGCCUCGUGAAUUCAUCUCCGGGGGUAGAGCACUGUUUCGGCAAGGGGGUCAUCCCGACUUACCAACCCGAUGCAAACUGCGAAUACCGGAGAAUGUUAUCACGGGAGACACACGGCGGGUGCUAACGUCCGUCGUGAAGAGGGAAACAACCCAGACCGCCAGCUAAGGUCCCAAAGUCAUGGUUAAGUGGGAAACGAUGUGGGAAGGCCCAGACAGCCAGGAUGUUGGCUUAGAAGCAGCCAUCAUUUAAAGAAAGCGUAAUAGCUCACUGGUCGAGUCGGCCUGCGCGGAAGAUGUAACGGGGCUAAACCAUGCACCGAAGCUGCGGCAGCGACGCUGAUGCGUUGUUGGGUAGGGGAGCGUUCUGUAAGCCUGCGAAGGUGUGCUGUGAGGCAUGCUGGAGGUAUCAGAAGUGCGAAUGCUGACAUAAGUAACGAUAAAGCGGGUGAAAAGCCCGCUCGCCGGAAGACCAAGGGUUCCUGUCCAACGUUAAUCGGGGCAGGGUGAGUCGACCCCUAAGGCGAGGCCGAAAGGCGUAGUCGAUGGGAAACAGGUUAAUAUUCCUGUACUUGGUGUUACUGCGAAGGGGGGACGGAGAAGGCUAUGUUGGCCGGGCGACGGUUGUCCCGGUUUAAGCGUGUAGGCUGGUUUUCCAGGCAAAUCCGGAAAAUCAAGGCUGAGGCGUGAUGACGAGGCACUACGGUGCUGAAGCAACAAAUGCCCUGCUUCCAGGAAAAGCCUCUAAGCAUCAGGUAACAUCAAAUCGUACCCCAAACCGACACAGGUGGUCAGGUAGAGAAUACCAAGGCGCUUGAGAGAACUCGGGUGAAGGAACUAGGCAAAAUGGUGCCGUAACUUCGGGAGAAGGCACGCUGAUAUGUAGGUGAAGUCCCUUGCGGAUGGAGCUGAAAUCAGUCGAAGAUACCAGCUGGCUGCAACUGUUUAUUAAAAACACAGCACUGUGCAAACACGAAAGUGGACGUAUACGGUGUGACGCCUGCCCGGUGC